ACGUUCAGGUAAUCGCUGCAGCUUUGCUGUAGAGGAAAGUCCAUGCUCGCACAGUGCUGAGAUGCCUGUAGUGUUCGUGCCUAGUGAAUUCAUAAGCUAGGGCAGCCCGGUAAUUCUGGGUUGACGGCAGGGAAAACACCUAAGUCGCAAGAUAUGGUGUGACUACUUUGAAAGUGCCACAGUGACGGAGCCUUAUGAGAAAUCAUAAGGGUGGAACGAGGUAAACCCCACGAGCGAGAAACCCAAAUUAUGGUAGGGGCACCUUCUUUGAGGAAUCGAACAAAGAGAAGGACAAGUGCAUUGCAUUUGUAGAUAGAUGAUUACCACCUAAGUACGAGACGAUAGUCGCCUGCAGUACAAAGGUACAGAACAUGGCUUACAGGA
rnacentral:RNase_P_RNA from 1 species